rnacentral:pre_miRNA from 1 species
UCUGAUUGAUGAGCAAAGAAAGUGGUUUCUUGAGCUGGAAUCUACUCCUGGUGAAGAUGCUGUGAA